UUUCUUUCAGGUUUGAAAAUCCUAGGAUGAAAAUGGAGGCUCUGAAAGUCUUUGAGAGGACGACUUAUAUUAUCAUGAAGGAUUUGACUUCGAUGGAAGGAUGAAGGAUCUUUAUGAUCAGAUGCUCUAUGGUCCGACGACAAGAAAUGAAUAGCCGGUUGCGACGCCUCAUUUCUUAGGGUUUGAAAUCAUGGACAUUUGAAUAAAAAGCUUAAUUACCUUCUUUUGUACCAAGCAGAUGGUAAUAAAUUGAAGAUGAUGUAUGAAUGCAGGAGUGUUACUUU